rnacentral:rRNA from 1 species
GAUGAACGCUGGCGGCGUGCCUAAUACAUGCAAGUCGAGCAAAUGGAUUAAGAGCUUGCUCUUAUGAAGUUAGCGGCGGACGGGUGAGUAACACGUGGGUAACCUGCCCAUAAGACUGGGAUAACUCCGGGAAACCGGGGCUAAUACCGGAUAACAUUUUGAACCGCAUGGUUCGAAAUCGAAAGGCGGCUUCGGCUGUCACUUAUGGACGGACCCGCGUCGCAUUAGCUAGUUGGUGAGGUAACGGCUCACCAAGGCAACGAUGCGUAGCCGACCUGAGAGGGUGAUCGGCCACACUGGGACUGAGACACGGCCCAGACUCCUACGGGAGGCAGCAGUAGGGAAUCUUCCGCAAUGGACGAAAGUCGGACGGAGCAACGCCGCGUGAGUGAUGAAGGCUUUCGGGUCGUAAAACUCUGUUGUUAGGGAAGAACAAGUGCUAGUUGAAUAAGCUGGCACCUUGACGGUACCUAACCAGAAAGCCACGGCUAACUACGUGCCAGCAGCCGCAGUAA